AGAAGCACACUCUUAGUUGAUUUCAAACACUGUUAAAACAUAGAAAUACUUUAUUUGAUGCAAAUCAGAUUUUUUGUAAUUGCUCCAUAUAAACUCCAGAAGACACUCUGAUAGUCAGAGAUCCUCAGACCUCAUCAAGUGAGCUGAUCAUCAUGUUUGCUGCCCGUGUACUUCACGCCAUGGCUGCCCUUGCUGUUCUAGCCACACUUGCUGCUGCUGAUGUGAUGCAGCCUAGAGCUGUAAAUUCUCCUGUUGUUCCACCGUGGUAGAGGCCUUUGAAUUCUUAGAUUGAAGAAUUCAUCACUGGAGCAGAACCACUAAAGGAGCUGUCUUUUUACUCCUUCUUGUUUAACAAUGGCUCCAAUUCUGUUUCACCAAGUUCAAGAAUAAAAUCUGCUUGCAAGUC